UACGUAGGGACGAGCGUUGUCCGGAAUGAUUGGGCGUAAAGGGCGCGUAGGCGGCUGUGCAAGUCAGUAGUGGAAGCCCAGCUUUUAAGGUUGGAAGUGCUAUUGAAACUGUGCAGCUUGAGUGCAGGAGAGGUUAUCGGAAUUCCCGGUGUAGCGGUGAAAUGCGUAGAGAUCGGGAGGAACACCAGUGGCGAAGGCGGGUGACUGGACUGCAACUGACGCUGAGGCGCGAAAGUGUGGGGAGCAAACAGGAUUAGAUA
rnacentral:rRNA from 1 species